CGUUUUCUUCUUCUUCUUCUACUUCCUGUGCUGCCGACGUUAGACAUUACGCUCCUGUCUUGUCGCAGCGACAUGUUCACGUCACGCACGAGUUGGACUGUCCCUGUGAGAUGUGUGUGGAGGAUAGGCUGCUAGCAAACAGAAACAGGCUGGAACAUGGAUAACAAGAUCACAAUGAACUGGCACUGGGGCUUAAAUAAUACGUGAUGUAAUCAGUGUAACAACCUUCAGAAGGAGUUUUCACGGUGUCAAAUGUCAGUGGUGAUAAAAGGGAGGAGAGAAAUUAAACCUGCACCAGUCGAAGCUCUCUGCAUCUUGCUUUAUUAUUCCAAGCAGGCCGCUACAGUGAAAACUCCUUUUGGCUACAACAGACCUGCCAUCCCUGCAGAGAAGCUGAUGCCACCUCAUCUGAGAUCCAGCUACCAAACGGAUACCAGCCAGCUGAUUCCACUCACAUUGAUAUCCUGCACAGGCAAGAUCAAAAAGGACGGCACACUGAAGUCUUUAAUGCAGCAGAACUGAAGAGUUUAAAAAGUCCACCUACCAGUCCUCCCAGUGUCCCAUCAUCCAGAGUUCUGCAGGACAUUCAGCUGCUGAAGCCCUCUGAGUGCAGAUCAGACUGAUGGACGUGAUGGAGGCGGAGCCAAGAAGGUUUUUUCAAACAGAUACAGAACCGGUUAUGGAUGACCUCCGAAAAAAAUCCAUCAGGAACAACAGAAAACUGACACGACCUGUGACAGACCUCAACAGACCUCAGUACAAGUUCAAAGUGCUUCAUUUGAUUCAUUUCAUUUAUCUUGUGUCUUAUCUUGUGUCUCACUUAUCUAUGUGAUAUUUCUUCCAAUUUCCCACCGUGAGACAUGGAGGUGCCGAACAUGUUGAGAAUUGAUUGAUGGAGACAGACAGGCUGCAGGUUUUUAGAUGAAUCAAAACCUCAGGGUUUGUUCAUCUUUAAAUGACAUCUGUAUGAUGACACGUCAGGCAAAGAGGAGUUUGACUAAAAGUCCUUUGUUAAGGGCUAUCUGGUCCCUGUACAAUGACAGCAGGAGCUUGGUUCGCA